rnacentral:rRNA from 1 species
CACUGUCACUCCUACGGGAGGCAGCAGUGGGAAUAUGCACAAUGGGCGCAAGCCUGAUGCAGCCACUGCCGCGUGUGUGAAGAAGGCCUUCGGGUUAGUAAAGCACUUUCAGUCGUGAGGAAGGUGGUAGUGUUAAUAGCACUAUCAUUUGACGUUAGCGACAGAAGAAGCACCGGCUAACUACCGUGCCAGCAGCCGCGGUAAUACGGAGGGUGCGAGCGUUAAUCGGUAAUUACUGGGCGUAAAGCGCAUGCAGGUGGUUUGUUAAGUCAGAUGUGAAAGACCCCGGGGCUCAACCUCGGAAUAGCAUUUGAAACUGGCAGACUAGAGUACUGUAGAGGGGGUUAGAAUUUCAGGGUGUAGCGGUGAAAUGCGUAGAGAUCUGAAGGAAUACCGGUGGCGAAGGCGGCCCCCUGGACAGAUACUGACACUCAGAUGCGAAAGCGUGGGGAGCAAACAGGAUUAGAUACCCUGGUAG